rnacentral:tRNA from 1 species
CGGGGCGUGGCGCAGCCUGGUAGCGCAUCUGCUUUGGGAGCAGAGGGUCGUGAGUCCGAAUCUCACCGCCCCGACCA